GAGAGAGAGAGAGAGAAUUAAAAUAAAUUAAUUUGAUACUUUUCUCCAGGUAAGUGAUUAAUAUAUAAACCAAAUUAACAGACGUCAUUUAACCAGUUUCGUUGAUCGGAUGUUGUUGUUGUUGUUGUUGUUGAUUUGAUCGCAUGUUGAUUGUUAAACUAAAAAUAAAUUCACUGAUUAAUGUUAAUUGGAGACAAUUAGAAAAAGGUAAACAAAGAAAAGAAAGUGACCAAGUUUACUCGCGAGAGAAACAUUAAUCUGUAUCUUUCUGCCAUUUCGUCUCACUUUCCCUUGUUAAUUUAAUUCUCUUCCAUUGGAAUAAUUUAAAAAUCUAUCGUAAUUAAUUUAUAUCUUUUCCAUCAAUUUUUCCAUCAAAAUGAAACAUCUCUUCGUGUUUACAGUUCUCAGUUUUCUCCAGCCAUUAAUAGUUCAUGCAUCGUUCAUGAUGAUUCUUACAUUUCUCCAAAAGGUUCGUUCAUGGUUUGGAAUCGGUGACACUGGACCAAGAAUAAUUGACUAUCCAAUGGCUCUAUCAUAACCCUUGACCCUUUAACCGUUUCUCUAUUCCAACAAAUGACCUUUUCCUCUCAACGAACCGGUGAAUCGAUCAUCAAACCGUAACUUUGUCUUUCAAUCUCAAAGCUCAUUCUCAGUCUCUCUCUUGUUUACCUCCAUUGGAGAUAAGUUGAUGAUGAGAAAAUCAAGUCAAUGACAUAAACUUUUUUUCUUCUUCUAUUCAAUUAAUUGUGUGUACUUAUUGUUUGUUUAGUUUAAUUAAUCGACAAUUGAUCUCACAAUAGUUUCCUUAUUCUUAUUUAACAGUCAAAAGUAAAACUGACCAUUAACGUCACCAUUAAGAUUGACCAUUGAUGACAUUUCUCUCCAUCAGCUUUUACUAUUUACAAAUGUUUAUCUCAUCAUUUUCUAUUGUUGGUAAUUAACUAAUUGUGUCGCUAUGGAUUCCAGUUUAUGUGCAUCAUACAAAUAUUAGGAGAAAAAAAAUUAUCUAUUAUGAUCAAUUUGUUAGUGACCUACAACUUUUGUUGUAAUUGUGAUUUCCAUUCAUCAUCAACAUGUUAAAACAAUCAUCAGUCUCAUCAUCGGCCAACAAUCAACUAAAUUAGUUAAACAGGAUCAACAACAACAAACCCAACUGGUUAUUCAACAAAAAGCAACAACAACAACACCUUUACGUUGUUAGGAUAGAGUUUCAAUCAACAUUGAAUUUCAUUGUGUCGCUCAAACAAUUAGCUGAUUUUCCAUCGAUAAUUUCUAUCACAAUUACAAUUGUCAAUCGACAAUAGAUUUGUAAUCAUUUCUCUCUCUCUCUCUCUCUCAUUAUCUGUGUAUAUAUUAAUUGACUCUCGAUAUCAUCUAUGUUUCAGAUGAUUAAAUAAAUGGGUGUGAUGAGGAUAAAAUAAUAACCUAAUGAUUUUCCCUGUAAAAAACUUGGUCUCACUCAAUUGAAAGAACAACAAUCAACUAAACCAUGGAGUUAACGAUAACAAUUAACUAAUAGCGAUGGAAAUUGAAUCGACAAUAAAUUUUAUAUAUUAAACAACAACAACAACAAGAGUAAAUGUGAUCAGCUUUGAUGGAAAUGAUUAACCGAUUUUAAUCUGUAAUUCAUAUGAUUACUAUUCAUCAAUUCACUUGUAAUUUAUUAAUUAUCAUCAUUAACUUUCAUGACUAAUAACAAUUAUUUUCAUUUUUGUUUCCCUGUUUGUAUUGAUUAUUUUAUGGUAACUAAACAAAAACUUAAUUUUCUAUCAAAUAAAAACUUUUAUAUUAGUUAA